GGGUUGUGAGGUUAAGCGACUAAGCGUACACGGUGGAUGCCCUGGCAGUCAGAGGCGAUGAAGGACGUGCUAAUCUGCGAUAAGCGCCGGUAAGGUGAUAUGAACCGUUAUAACCGGCGAUUUCCGAAUGGGGAAACCCAGUGUGAUUCGUCACACUAUCAUUAACUGAAUCCAUAGGUUAAUGAGGCGAACCGGGGGAACUGAAACAUCUAAGUACCCCGAGGAAAAGAAAUCAACCGAGAUUCCCCCAGUAGCGGCGAGCGAACGGGGAGGAGCCCAGAGCCUGAAUCAGCAUGUGUGUUAGUGGAAGCGUCUGGAAAGGCGCGCGAUACAGGGUGACAGCCCCGUACACAAAAAUGCACAUGCUGUGAGCUCGAUGAGUAGGGCGGGACACGUGGUAUCCUGUCUGAAUAUGGGGGGACCAUCCUCCAAGGCUAAAUACUCCUGACUGACCGAUAGUGAACCAGUACCGUGAGGGAAAGGCGAAAAGAACCCCGGCGAGGGGAGUGAAAAAGAACCUGAAACCGUGUACGUACAAGCAGUGGGAGCACAGGUUUACCUGUGUGACUGCGUACCUUUUGUAUAAUGGGUCAGCGACUUAUAUUCUGUAGCAAGGUUAACCGAAUAGGGGAGCCGGAGGGAAACCGAGUCUUAACCGGGCGUUAAGUUGCAGGGUAUAGACCCGAAACCCGGUGAUCUAGCCAUGGGCAGGUUGAAGGUUGGGUAACACUAACUGGAGGACCGAACCGACUAAUGUUGAAAAAUUAGCGGAUGACCUGUGGCUGGGGGUGAAAGGCCAAUCAAACCGGGAGAUAGCUGGUUCUCCCCGAAAGCUAUUUAGGUAGCGCCUCGUGAACUCAUCUCCGGGGGUAGAGCACUGUUUCGGCUAGGGGGCCAUCCCGGCUUACCAACCCGAUGCAAACUGCGAAUACCGGAGAAUGUUAUCACGGGAGACACACGGCGGGUGCUAACGUCCGUCGUGAAGAGGGAAACAACCCAGACCGCCAGCUAAGGUCCCAAAGUCAUGGUUAAGUGGGAAACGAUGUGGGAAGGCCCAGACAGCCAGGAUGUUGGCUUAGAAGCAGCCAUCAUUUAAAGAAAGCGUAAUAGCUCACUGGUCGAGUCGGCCUGCGCGGAAGAUGUAACGGGGCUAAACCAUGCACCGAAGCUGCGGCAGCGACGCUUAUGCGUUGUUGGGUAGGGGAGCGUUCUGUAAGCCUGUGAAGGUGGCCUGUGAGGGUUGCUGGAGGUAUCAGAAGUGCGAAUGCUGACAUAAGUAACGAUAAAGCGGGUGAAAAGCCCGCUCGCCGGAAGACCAAGGGUUCCUGUCCAACGUUAAUCGGGGCAGGGUGAGUCGACCCCUAAGGCGAGGCCGAAAGGCGUAGUCGAUGGGAAACGGGUUAAUAUUCCCGUACUUGGUGUUACUGCGAAGGGGGGACGGAGAAGGCUAUGUUGGCCGGGCGACGGUUGUCCCGGUUUAAGCGUGUAGGCUGGUUUUCCAGGCAAAUCCGGAAAAUCAAGGCUGAGGCGUGACGACGAGGCACUACGGUGCUGAAGCAACAAAUGCCCUGCUUCCAGGAAAAGCCUCUAAGCAUCAGGUAACAUCAAAUCGUACCCCAAACCGACACAGGUGGUCAGGUAGAGAAUACCAAGGCGCUUGAGAGAACUCGGGUGAAGGAACUAGGCAAAAUGGUGCCGUAACUUCGGGAGAAGGCACGCUGACACGUAGGUGAAGUGAUUUACUCACGGAGCUGAAGUCAGUCGAAGAUACCAGCUGGCUGCAACUGUUUAUUAAAAACACAGCACUGUGCAAACACGAAAGUGGACGUAUACGGUGUGACGCCUGCCCGGUGCCGGAAGGUUAAUUGAUGGGGUCAGCGCAAGCGAAGCUCCUGAUCGAAGCCCCGGUAAACGGCGGCCGUAACUAUAACGGUCCUAAGGUAGCGAAAUUCCUUGUCGGGUAAGUUCCGACCUGCACGAAUGGCGUAAUGAUGGCCAGGCUGUCUCCACCCGAGACUCAGUGAAAUUGAACUCGCUGUGAAGAUGCAGUGUACCCGCGGCAAGACGGAAAGACCCCGUGAACCUUUACUAUAGCUUGACACUGAACAUUGAGCCUUGAUGUGUAGGAUAGGUGGGAGGCUUUGAAGUGUGGACGCCAGUCUGCAUGGAGCCGACCUUGAAAUACCACCCUUUAAUGUUUGAUGUUCUAACGUGGACCCGUAAUCCGGGUUGCGGACAGUGUCUGGUGGGUAGUUUGACUGGGGCGGUCUCCUCCUAAAGAGUAACGGAGGAGCACGAAGGUUGGCUAAUCCUGGUCGGACAUCAGGAGGUUAGUGCAAUGGCAUAAGCCAGCUUGACUGCGAGCGUGACGGCGCGAGCAGGUGCGAAAGCAGGUCAUAGUGAUCCGGUGGUUCUGAAUGGAAGGGCCAUCGCUCAACGGAUAAAAGGUACUCCGGGGAUAACAGGCUGAUACCGCCCAAGAGUUCAUAUCGACGGCGGUGUUUGGCACCUCGAUGUCGGCUCAUCACAUCCUGGGGCUGAAGUAGGUCCCAAGGGUAUGGCUGUUCGCCAUUUAAAGUGGUACGCGAGCUGGGUUUAGAACGUCGUGAGACAGUUCGGUCCCUAUCUGCCGUGGGCGCUGGAGAACUGAGGGGGGCUGCUCCUAGUACGAGAGGACCGGAGUGGACGCAUCACUGGUGUUCGGGUUGUCAUGCCAAUGGCACUGCCCGGUAGCUAAAUGCGGAAGAGAUAAGUGCUGAAAGCAUCUAAGCACGAAACUUGCCCCGAGAUGAGUUCUCCCUGAGACUUAGAGUCUCCUGAAGGAACGUUGAAGACGACGACGUUGAUAGGCCGGGUGUGUAAGUGCAGCGAUGCGUUGAGCUAACCGGUACUAAUGAACCGUGAGGCUUAACCUUACAACGCCGAAG
rnacentral:rRNA from 1 species